rnacentral:rRNA from 1 species
GCUCCAAUAGCGUAUAUUAAAGUUGUUGCGGUUAAAAAGCUCGUAGUUGGAUUUCUGUUGAGGACGGCCGGUCCGCACUAUGUGCGUGUAUCUGGUUCGGCCUCGGCAUCCUCUUGAGGAACGUUUCUGCGCUUGAUUGCGUGGAGCGGUAUUCAAGACUUUUACUUGAGGAAAUUAGAGUGUUCACGGCAGGCAAGCGC